GGAAUAUUGCGCAAUGGGGGAAACCCUGACGCAGCGACGCCGCGUGAGUGAUGAAGGCCUUCGGGUUGUAAAGCUCUGUUGUAGAUGACGAAAAAAAUGACGGUAAUCUACGAGAAAGGACCGGCUAACUUCGUGCCAGCAGCCGCGGUAAGACGAGGGGUCCUAGCGUUGUUCGGAAUUAUUGGGCGUAAAGCGGGUGUAGGCGGCCUGUUUAGUCAGAUGUGAAAGCCCUGGGCUCAACCCAGGAAGUGCAUUUGAUACUGGAGGGCUUGAGUAUGGGAGAGGAUAGUAGAAUUCCUGGUGUAGUGGUGAAAUACGUAGAUAUCAGGAGGAAUACCGGUGGCGAAGGCGGCUAUCUGGCCCAAUACUGACGCUCAGACCCGAAAGCGUGGGUAGCAAAC
rnacentral:rRNA from 1 species